rnacentral:rRNA from 1 species
UACGGAGGGGGCUAGCGUUGUUCGGAAUUACUGGGCGUAAAGCGCACGUAGGCGGCUACUCAAGUCAGGGGUGAAAGCCCGGGGCUCAACCCCGGAACUGCCCUUGAAACUAGGUAGCUAGAAUCUUGGAGAGGUCAGUGGAAUUCCGAGUGUAGAGGUGAAAUUCGUAGAUAUUCGGAAGAACACCAGUGGCGAAGGCGACUGACUGGACAAGUAUUGACGCUGAGGUGCGAAAGCGUGGGGAGCAAACAGG